rnacentral:rRNA from 3 species
UACGAAGGUCCCGAGCGUUAUCCGGAUUUAUUGGGUUUAAAGGGUGCGUAGGCGGGUUAUUAAGUCAGUGGUGAAAGCCUACAGCUUAACUGUAGAAUUGCCAUUGAUACUGAUGAUCUUGAGUAUGAUUGAGGUGGGCGGAAUGUGUCAUGUAGCGGUGAAAUGCUUAGAUAUGACACAGAACACCGAUUGCGAAGGCAGCUCACUAAGUCAUAACUGACGCUGAUGCACGAAAGCGUGGGGAGCAAACAGG